rnacentral:rRNA from 1 species
AUUGAACGCUGGCGGCAGGCUUAACACAUGCAAGUCGAGCGAGCGGCGGACGGGUGAGUAAUGUAUCGGAACUGCCCCAUAGAGGGGGAUAACUACUGGAAACGGUGGCUAAUACCGCAUACUAUCGGAUAACCCAUAUGGGAUUAGCUAGUAGGUGGGGUAAAGGCUCACCUAUGCGACGAUCUCUAGCUGGGCUGAGAGGAUGAUCAUGAACACUGGGACUGAGACACGGCCCAGACUCAUGCGGAGGCAGCAGUGGGGAAUAUUGCACAAUGGGAGCAAGCCUGAUGCAGCCAUGCCGCGUGUAUGAAGAAGGCCUUAGGGUUGUAAAGGACUUUCAGCGGGGAGGCGUUACCCGAAGAAGAAGCACCGGCUAACUCCGUGCCAGCAGCCGCGGUAAUAC